UGAGUUGUACCCUCAGCCCUGGGAAAACCAUUUCUGAUGUGUUAUAACGGUGGGCUAACUGUGGGUGCCAGUGAUUGGAUACUUCAAAAAAGCUAGUAGGUUGGAUAUAUCCAACAGAAAGAAGUGAUAAAUAUGUGAGAAGAUAAUAUAUACUAUUACUCAAGUGUGAGGGUUUCAAUAAGAAUUAUGCCCCCCUCAUAUAUUUGAAUGCUUAGUCACCAGGAAGUGGCACUGUUUAAGAAGGAUUAGGAGGUGUGGCCUUGUUGAAAGAGGAAUGUCACUGGGGAUGGUCUUGGAGGUUUCAAAAAGCUCAUAGGAGACCCAGAGUGAUGUGAUGGUGGAGAUCUCUCUCUCUCUUGCUCUCUCGCUCUCAAA
rnacentral:lncRNA from 1 species